UCAUUCUCAGAGCGAGGUAGCGAGCACCAACGAAAAGAUUCAGAGAUUCAGAUCGGUCUCCACCAUCUGUACCAUCGUCUGCUAAGAGGUCAAAAGGCCGUCAAAUUUUGUGGAUUUCUAUUCUUAUGCAUUUCGAUGCUGCUUAACAGAGGAAAAACAGGAGUAUUGACAUUGAGAGCAUUUGCCAAUUACUUGAUCUUGUUCUAGGGUCCCAAUCCCGUGCCCAAGUCGACUACUUUGUUGAGUACUUGAGGACACAAAUUGAUUACAAGGUCAUAAACAUAGACCAAUGGAUGGGUUUCUAUCGGUUUUGCAAUGAGGUAAUCCAACGGUUAGUUGCUAAUUGUUAUUUUAGAAUUUAUAGAUUUCUUUUUUUUUUAGUUGAUCCUCUAAUGUAAAUUGACUGGUUGAUGUGUGUGAUACAUUUAAAAAUCCAUAAAGAUGUAUAUUUGAUAUUACCUUUUUCUUUAGAAGUCAUGCGGACACAUGCACAUUAUUUAGUUUACUUUUUCUAGAAAUGGAAGUCUCUAGAGGGCUGACCGGGCUGUCCAUGUAAUUUUUAUAGAUGGAACUCUAGAGGCCAAGGGAAACCAUAAGGUGGGUUAAUAUUGAUCAGUUAGCCUUUUUGUGCAUUAUUCUUUCUUUGUUAUCUUUAUUCUUCCAUUCUGCGUUUAUUUUUGGGUGUUGUUCAUCUUUGUUCCUAUAAUUUCUUUUGGCUUGUUUCUUAGGCUUGAUCUAUUAAAAAUUAAACAUUUUUUUAAUGUGUGUAUGCUUGUUAUUCGAAAAGGUAAAAGACAGUUGUGGAACUGUGGGGUUUAACUGACAUCAGCUUCAAGCUCCUGUUUUAUCGCAUUUGGAAAACAUAUUCGUCCUUUUUUUGAAUGAACUGGGAAAUGUUUGCUUGUCCUUCUGUCCUCUGUUAAUGCAAGCAAAUGUAUUCCUGUGUGUUUUACCGUGCUUUGUUAAUGCCAUUUUCCACCAUAAACUGUGUUAUGUGGCACCUUAGUAGCAUUCUUAUGUUCUAACUUUUGCCUCACGUUGAAUUAUGAAAUUCAACAAAUUUAUAAUGUAUUUAUUUAUAUUUGGUUUGAGAUCAACAUACUUUUCCAGUAGAGAAAUUGCUUGAUGGUCAUUCAAUUUUCUGAACACGACACGAUUUUUUGUUGUUAUUCCACUGCAUAACAUCUUAUAUGAAGGUGAAAGAUAUGUCUCUAUAUUCAUUACAUUUUUGUUCCCAUCGUAUGAGCAAAGCUUCUGAAAAAUAAAAUAAAAUAAUCAUAACCAGAAAUAUGAAUGACUUGCAACAACAUUGUUUUACUUUUCCACUGUAGCCAAUUAUUGUUAUAGGCUGUAGAUUGCAGCUGGACCAUUGCAUACUAGCUAUUUUGAAAAGUAUUCCUUAUGGUUAAAUUUCCUUUUUUCACAACUCAAACUUGACUCAAUGAUAUUGAAGCUUCUAUGGCUUUGCAUGUGGCCUUUAAAUGGACCUGCCAUUUUUUAAACUGUUGGAUUUAAAUUGCAGAGGGACUUAUUCAACUCUGAGAAAGUAUAUUAUUUAGGAAGAUGUUAUUUGUUUCAUUCCUAUAUAUGGUAAUAACCUUCAAUUAUUCAAUUCUGAUGAACUCAUGUAUUAUUUUUCUUUCAUUUAUGGAUUAUUUAAACAUACUGAUGCAGUGAUGCUCUUGUCAAUUUAAAUUUGAAAUCUAGAGCAUAUAUCUCCUGCCCAAAUCAUAUACAGGGCAUGUUUUUUGCCCUGUCCUCUUUCUGUCUCUCUCUCUCACACACACACACAAAAACACACAAACCCACAUAUACACAUACAAAAAAGAAUUACAACGUAAGUAACACACGACUCCCAUGUCACACCACAAAGAUACAUUUAUCAUAAGAUAAUCAUUCACAUGUUUUUUACUCUUGGGUUAUAUUUUGAUAUUAUUAUGUUCAGAUACUUUGAUUGUUGUUUGUUAUUAUGAGAAUAUACUGAAGCUGUUGCUGUUCAUGAGGGCAUUUAAAUCAUGGAGAUGGGUGGUCAGGAAAAGACACAUAUUAUUUGACAGGGGAACAUCAGAUAGACGAACAAUUGAACCCCUUCUACACAUCGAAGUUGUUUUAUGAACUUGCACAUGAUAGGUGAUUUGGCUUACAAUAGUUUGGCUAGUUUACCUUGUGGCAUCAUUCAAGCUGGUUCAGAUUUGGAGUUAAAACCUCUGUUGUCAACAAGUAGUUCAAGGGAAAAGGUUGAUGUUUCAAGCUCUCAAAACUUACUAGCAACAGACAAG